rnacentral:rRNA from 1 species
GACGAACGCUGGCGGCGUGCUUAACACAUGCAAGUCGAACGGAAAGGCCCUGCUUUUGUGGGGUGCUCGAGUGGCGAACGGGUGAGUAUCACGUGAGUAACCUGCCCUUGACUUUGGGAUAACUUCAGGAAACUGGGGCUAAUACCGGAUAGGAGCUCCUGCUGCAUGGUGGGGGUUGGAAAGUUUCGGCGGUUGGGGAUGGACUCGCGGCUUAUCCGCUUGUUGGUGGGGUAGUGGCUUACCAAGGGUUUGACGGGUAGCCGGCCUGAGAGGGUGACCGGCCACAUUGGGACUGAGAGACGGCCCAGACUCCUACGGGAGGCAGCAGUGGGGAAUAUUACACAAUGGGCGGAAGCCAGAUGCAGCAACGCCGCGUGCGGGAUGACGGCCUUCGGGUUGUAAACCGCUUUCGCCUGUGACGAAGCGUGAGUGACGGUAAUGAGUAAAGAAGCACCGGCUAACUACGUG